AUGGACUGCAAGACAUCCUCUUCUCCUCUGAUAUUCAACAGGUGAAGAGACAAAUUGAUCAAUUUGCCUCAGGAUAAGCAUUAGCAGCAAAACAAUCCUUUAUCCUAACCUUAUCAAAAUCACUGAAUUCUGGAUCAGGACAGAGUAUAAUAUUGGGAUUGGAUGUCUCCUUCCUUUUUGGAUUCAAUCGCUCAACUUUCACCUUUUUCCUUAGAUCUGUUUUUUAGGUUGGCCAUUUGUUUUUUUUUGUAGGCUGUUGUUGCUGUUUGGUGGUAGGCUCAUGUUGAUGCAGGAUUCUAGUGACAGGAUAUGGAAUGGAUUCAUGCAUUUCCAUGGCUUGGUGUAUUGUUUUGGUUCUGUCACAUGGCUAAUGAUUGGUCAUUGCAGGAUUUGGUGCAGGUUGCAUUAUGGUUCUUGGUUGGCUCAAAACAGGGCAAUGGUAUCUAGUAGGUUUUGGGUAAAACUAUUGUGGCUUCCAUUCAUGUUUUUUUGUCUACUGCAGGGCCAAUUGUAGGUUUGUUAUGGCCUUUUGUUGGUUAAAUCAUGGAGAUUUGGCUUUGUAAUGUGGUGUAUUGUGAGCAAGGAAUGAGCACACUCAUGUGGUGCUGCUGCAGUUGGUUUUAUGCUCAUGUGGUAAUGUUGGUUUGUUGCAAGUUGUGUGCCUUGAUGUACUGCCUGCUGCAGAGUUUAUUUGGUUUAUGGCAUGAGGUUCAGUAGGUUCACUCAUGGACAUGAAUGGAAACUUGCAUUUGAAGUAAGCAAGGGAGCACACAUGGACUUUGGUGGUAAAUCAAGACAAGAUAGCGUGAGAUUAGGUCCAAGUUUGGGAAAUAGGGUUUUAGAAUUUUAGGGUUGACUUUGGUCAAAGUUGACCAAAAAGUCAACGGUUGACCAAAGUUAAAAAUUGGUCCAAAACCCAUUUUCUUGGCAUUUUCUUUGUAAAUGGACAACGGAUUGAUGAUUAGGAUGAAAUUUAGUGUUUUUGGAGUUUGGGUUGACUUUGGUCAAAGUUGACAAAAAAGUCAAUUGUUGACCAAAGUUAACAAUUGGUCAAAAAAUGUCAAAUUUUGUAUUUUCUUGUGUUGAAUCACAUGUAAUGGUUUACAAUGACAUGAAAUAGAUUGAAAUGGAUUAACAAAUGGUUUGAAGUUGGUUUCCAAA